GAUAAAAGAAAUCACUUGUAUAAGAGUUAGUUUGGAAACAUAUUCAGAUUUCAACCCUGGAAAUGGACAUGGCUGACAAGAGACCAACUGUUAACUUUGGAGCACAGUGAGAUCUGUAAAGAAAUCCAGAACAUCAGUGACAAGAUACAGGAGUGAAUUUUCAUCCAAGAUAGACCAACUCAACCUACUGGUUUCCAGUCGACAGGAAAAAAUGUCAAAAUUAAACCUUCAACAUCAGCAGAAAAUGAGGGCUACAUAGGAAAGCAUGCAGCAGCUUAGAAUUUCAGCCCUGAAAAUGGGCAUGGCUGACAAGAGACUAACUGUAAAUUUUGGAGCACAGUGAGAUCUGUAAAGAAAUCCAGGACAUCAGUGACAAGAUACAGGAGUGAUUUUUCAUCCAAGAUAGACCAACUCCUGGUUUCCAGUCGACAGGAAAAAAUGUCAAAAUUAAACCUUCAACAUCAGCAGAAAAUGAGGGCUACACAGGAAAGCAUGCAACAGCUGAGGGAUUGACCAAUGGCUGCUGAUAUGGGCGGAAAACAAAAUCGGUUAGAGGAGAUUGAAAGGAAGAUCAGAAGAAAAUGUCAAAUGAAAGUGUUAAACAGAUAAAACAAUAUAUAUAAUUUUACAUGAAUGUAUGCACAUGUAUGAUGUAUGUGUACCCUUUUUAUUUUGAAACGGUUCAUGAUUUGCUAGCAUUUGAAAAUCGAAAUUUUAUGAGACAUAAAGAUAGGAAACUAAAAUGAAAAAUCAAAUUAUUUCGAAAAUAGUUGGGACAUUUUACUGUAUUUUUGUGUCUUCAUACUUUACUUAAUUUUUAUUGUUUUUGAGUUCCAGAUGAAUAUUGCACAGGAUAAUUCCCUACACGAGCGUCGAGUGAAGAAAGCCAUGCAGUAUAAACUGACAGACAAAACUAUUUCACUAUUUGUAGCAGGAAUGUCAGCUGCAGUGCUGUGAAUACAAAACAAGAUGCUUGUAAAAAAUAGAAUGUUAAAUUUUGUUUUGUCAUGUGUAUAUUGGUCUGUAAAACGCUUAUAAUGACCUUUCAUCUGGAAAUUUUUGAGUUUUACCUGACCAUCAUUUUUUCUGAAUGUUGCGAGAUAGAAAAAAGGUGAGUCAGAGAAGAACGUUUAGUAAUUACAUAUAUAACUUGGCAAAAAUUGAAGACUUUCGUACACAGAAAAUUAGUUUAUGAAAACAAAGAAAGCAAACUUAAUGAUGUGUUUUCAUCAAUAUUUAAUAGUGAAGAUGUAGUGUCGUGGGAAAAUCUUGGGCUUACAAAUAAAAGAAUAUGUGUAGUAUGCCAUCUUUCAAUGUAGUAAAAAGUAACCACUGGAGUUAAAUGCUUGAGAGAUGCAUACAAGUUAUAUUGGAUGAUAAUUUAAAAAUUCACCAUGGAUUUGUUCCGUUGAGGUUAUCAUAUUUCUCCUAUAAUACCAUAAGAAAACUUUGGUGAUGUAGAAUUUGAAUCUAAAUUGAAUUAAUUUACUUGUCCAAAAAAUGCUUAAACAAUCUUACCAGACCUUGCAACCCUCACCAUCACCACGGGAGAUAGUAUAGGACAGAGUACUAACAUUCACCACGGGAGAUAGUAUAGGAGAGAGUACUAACAUUCACCACGGGAGAUAGUUUAGUAUAGGAUAGAGUACUAACAUUCACCACGGGAGAUAGUAUAGGACAGAGUACUAACAUU